rnacentral:pre_miRNA from 1 species
UUGAUACUCCCUUCGAUCCAUAUUACUCGUCGAAAUAUUACAUGUAUCUAGACGCUUUUUAAACAUAGAUACAUCCAUAUUUUGGGCAAAUUUGAGACAAGUAAUAUGGGUCGGAGGGAGUAGAAA